CGUUAUUGUUCUUCCAUUUCCGCACGCCGCGCGCCGGACCUGCACGCUCCCGACUUCGAGCUGCUGCUGCUCUGCUGCGGAACCGCGUCGCCGCCUGUCGCACAAAGGACAAGUAGAGGAAUAAAAAGAGUGGAUCUGACGGAUUUUAUUUGUUCAUCUUUCGCUUCUUGCUCGAGGGUUUUGUAUCGCUUUUGCUAACUUUAUUGACGAACUCGCCUCCUCCUCCUCCUCCAAAAUGGAGAACGAGAACAAGUACCUCCCGCAGCUCCUGGCGGAAAGAGACAGUCUGGAUUCAUCCUUCAUGCACGCCAUGAAACUUUUAUCUGCAGAAAUCGAGCGGGUUCAGAAAGACGAGCCGGAAAAAGACAACGAAACCUACUUGGAUCUCUUCACGGCGAAGAACAUCAAGCUGAAGGAACGAGUCCUCAUUCCAGUCAAACAGUACCCAAAGUUUAACUUUGUUGGGAAGAUACUUGGGCCUCAAGGGAACACCAUUAAGAGACUGCAGGAGGAAACGGGUGCCAAGAUUUCCGUUCUGGGCAAGGGGUCCAUGAGAGACAAAGCGAAGGAGGAGAGUUUGAGGAAAAGCGGCGAGCCCAAAUACGCGCACCUGUCCAUGGAGCUCCACGUAUUUAUCGAAGUAUUCGCCCCGGCGCCUGAAGCAUACAUGCGCAUGGCCAACGCUAUGGAGGAGGUUAAGAAGUUCCUCUUUCCUGACAUGAUGGACGAAAUUUGCCAGGAGCAGUUCAUGGAGAUGGGAUAUCUGAAUGGCAGCCACGAACACGCUGUCCGUGGCAGGGGAGGCCCAAUGGCCCGGGGGCGUGGAGGACCCCCUCCACCUAGGGGUCGAGGCAUGGCACUGAUGCGCGGCGGUGUUCCGCGCGGCGGCCCAGCCAGAGGUGGGGCGGUCAGAGGGGCUCCAGCAGGACGUGGAGGACCACCGGCUCAGGCUGUCAGAGGGGCGGCUGCCACGAGAGCUCGUGCUCCUGCCCCUGGAACGCAGCGGAUGCCUCCUCCACCGCGCCCUCCUGCCCAGGAGCCUUAUGAAGACUAUUCUUACGACGAAGCCUACACAGAGUCGGCUUACGAAGCCUACGACAGCUAUUACAGUCAGCCACCGGCAGAACCAGAGUAUUAUGACUAUGGACACGGAGAAACGCAGGAAGGAUACGAGAAUUAUGGUCAAGAUGACUGGAACGGAACGCAGCGUACGCCCACCGCCGGGAAAGUGGCCGCUCAGAGACAAACGAAGGGAGCGUACAGGGAACAUCCGUAUGGACGAUACUGAACUCUAACCAAGCACAACGUCACCACCCAUAAUGUCCCAUCAUGACGACUGUCUCCCACGGCAGCUCGCUCUUUAAGCAACCCGACAAAAGGAACUGUUCCUCCCCGGGAUGGAAUCAGGGUUUGCAGCUUUUUUCCCCAACAGGGGAAAGACCGGUUUGCCGUAAAGAGGCGGUCUUGAAUUUCAGCCGGCCGCUCUUUCGGUGCCGAAAGAAGUCUGAAAAGCGGCAGAGCGUCUCCAGGGUCGGAACCUUGAUGUUCCUGCCGGACGCCUUUCAAGAAUGAAGCCAGAAGCCCCGAGCGCUUGGAAAGUGCAUCCGCGGCUUAAAAAAGGAAAGAAAAAAGGAAAUCGAUGCUCUCUUCGGCGCUGCUGCCAAAGCAUGCGGGCGAUGUAUUGAGCUGGAGCAGAAAGCGACGUACGUGUCCUACAGCGGUCGUGUUUGUGCACGUGUACAUGGUCACAUAUUGGGGGAAUAGUAUCUGGCUCGUUGUCUUUGUCAAGCUUCCAGCUUUAGUUUUUCUUCACUUUGUUAAAUCCCUGAUGCUCGCUUAAUGCUGUCCUGAAAAUGACAGAACACAUGUCCUUUGUAUUUAUUUCCUCGACCCUCCUUCACCUUGGAUAUAUAUUGUAUGCUAAAAAAAAUUUUCCCCACAUUUACAUCAAUACAAACAUGAAAACCCAGGUUUCCUACACAUUUUGUAAAGGUAUCAAAAUAUGGAAUUUGCCAUAGUAUUGCCCGAGGGGUGUAACGAUACAACAAAACAGAACCGAAAUCUUUUUCACAUCAGGGCUUUUGUGUGUAUCGAAUGCGAUCCUUGAAUAAAAUCCGCGUUCCCUCAUCAAAGUAUUGGCGGCCCGCAAGUUUGUCGUUUCCGCCUCGAACUUAAGCGCAUUUUGUUUAUUAAGCUUGAAAACGUACACAACAAUGCACUAGGAAGCGGCUAAUGCUACGUCCAGCUUCAAGAAUUUCUCUUAAAAAGAGGAAAUCCUGACAAUUCCACAUAGCGAGGGAGUAAAUGAAUGAAGGAUGGAAGGAAUAGACAUUUGUUAAAUUCUGCUGAAAUAAGUAGAACAUUUAUGUGGAGCAAAUCUUUAGAAAACUGAAUAUUAAAUACGUAGCUGUAUUACUAAAAUGGGGUCUAACAAAUGUAAGCUAUUUAAUUGAAUUUGCGCCAAGAUAAUUGACUCGAUUUAAUCAAUAAAAUAAAGUAUAUUGCAUUAAUUUGAUGUAUUCUAUUUGAUCUUUUAUAAUUUUCUUUUAUUUAAAAUUGUUUUAAAAAAGGUAAACUCAUCAAAUGUUGAUCGCAAAUGUCAAUAAACUGUUAAAAUUUGCUUGUCGUGUUUUUUAAUUUUACAUUUUUCCUUUGACCGUACCAGAAUUUAGAACCGAUCCAUAAAAAGUCUUAAAAGCCGAGGUACGUACCAAACCGUGAACCCCUAUUUUGCCCUAUUCGCUUUUCUAAAAUAGAAAAGUUGUAUAAAACAAAGGCUGCUCUAAUCCGGAUACAUAAAAAAAACACGUUCAUUCACUUUCGUGUUCAGUAGUUUCCAAAAAUGUUGCUCUCCCACACCGAAACGUCUGAAAACUUUCACGUCACAAGGAAACCGUAAGACGCAGUGUAGUUUAUUGGUGAAUUGAACAAGAACAAUCCUCCUGUUGAACAAUCCAAUCUUUAAGGUUUAGAAAUAAUGAUUCGCAUUGCACUGUUCAGAAUCGCAUUAAUCGAUGAUUUACGUUUUAAUUAAAUGCUGUGCAUCGUACGUGGUUUAGUAUUAAUUUGUAGAAGCUACAGCAGCUACAACCUUAUUUUGUAAUAGCGUACAUCAGAGAUUUGAACUUUUAUAAUUGGGAAUGAAAAUCAUUAUCAUCGAUGUUAAAUUUGGUCUAAAAGUAAAUAUUUGAGUUUGGAAAAGUGCAAUUCUGAAAUGAAAAAAUGUGUAGGAAUCCUGAUAACCAGCCAAUUGAGAAGCUUGUAUGAAAGUUAUUGCAGGAUGUUUUUGACUCAUUUUUUUUAUAUUGUAUAUCUGUGUUGUAUGCCAUGUACACCUUUGCUGAUAUUUCAUGCCCCAGUUUAUAUCAUAACCACAGUAGAAAAAUGGCACGUAUAUUGGAUUUGUUUUCUUUUAAAGCUAAAUUAGAGCCAUCGGCCUUUUUUCAGUCUCAUGCUAGCUUCUCAGCUUGGAUAGAAACCCAAUUAGGCUUUUGGGAAGAAUGCACUGCAGAGGUUAUUGAUCGUAUUAAUUUUUUUCCCCUCUGCAAAAGGUUCAUUAUUUAAACGUGUUACAGUCUCGAAUGUUCAAGUAUAUCGUAUUUCAGAUUACAAGGACACCCGGGUGCUUUCGCUCCAGACUGCCACGAGUAGGUCUUUAUUUCCACGCCGCAGUGCCAUCGGGGCCUGAUGCUCCAGCGAGCCAGGAUGAUCCCAUUCGCCUUUCGAGGAAUUUAAAAUACACAGCUGUGCGCGCCCGGCGUGACGAGCCGUGAAUUGGGCUUUGGAGUUGAAACGCGUUACCCGGGGCGUUGUGAGUGUGAGCGAGCAGUCAAGCAGAUUCUCAGAACAUUUUUUCAUUCUUUUUUUUCCCCCCUUCUUCCUGAGACCAUAUUUU